rnacentral:rRNA from 1 species
UACCGAGGGCUCAAGCGUUGUUCGGAAUCACUGGGCGUAAAGGGUGCGUAGGCCGCGCCGUAAGUCAGUUGUGAAAUCCCGGGGCUCAACCCCGGAACUGCAUCCGAUACUGCGGUGCUUGAGGACUGGAGAGGAGAUUGGAAUUCAUGGUGGAGCAGUGAAAUGCGUAGAUAUCAUGAGGAACGCUAGUGGCGUAGGCGAAUCUCUGGACAGUGCCUGACGCUGAGGCACGAAGGCCAGGGGAGCAAACGGG